rnacentral:tRNA from 4 species
GCGGGUGUGGCGGAACUAGGCAGACGCGAUAGGUUUAGGUCCUAUUGUCCUUGUGGCGUGCAGGUUCGAUUCCUGUCACCCGUAC